AAGAAGGUGCCAUCUAGGAAGCAGGAAGCAGGGCCUGACCAGACACCAAAUCUGCUGGGGCGUUAGUCUUGGAUUUCCAGCCUCCAUAACUGUGCAAAAUCCAUUUCUGUUGCUUAUAAGCUACCCAGCUUCCGGGAUUUUGUUUAGCAGCCCAAAUGGACUAAGACAGUGGCAUAAGUGGAAAUAAACUCAAGCUGAUGCUUCAAAAACGAGAAGGACCAUGGAGCACUUUAGAGACUAUCUUUGGAACACAUAAUCCUCAGUUGGUGGGGCAGGCGUGGAACAGCAGUGUUGCGGUAGUCCGUGUAUCCAAAGAGCUCUUGGGGAAGGGUUUCAAACAGGAAAGCCUUUCUUGUUAUUAGCCUCUGUUUUGAAUAAUGCAUCUAAGAUAAAUGUGACAGCAACAAAAUAUAGAAAUUGGACAGUCUGGGGGUC
rnacentral:sRNA from 1 species